UUUUUGUUUGAUCGUCGGAUAUAAUAAACAUGCAGGAAGUCAUUCAUCAAGCGGGACGUAGACUGGUAUGGGUGGCCGUGUCCAAAUGAAUCAUUCCCUUUGGAUGACUCAUGAAUGACUAAUUCACUUCAACCAUUUUGCUCCACAUUUGCAUAGAUGUCUCUGAAUUUGCUCUGAGCCAGAAAACCAUAGUGCUGCAUCUGCAUAAUGCCUCUGCAGGGAAAAUAGCAACGCCAGUGUCAUUUUGAUUUUCCACUUUUGCACUUCCUGCUUGUGUCGGGGUUAAAUUGAUGCCCACCAUGGAAGAUGUAAGAUGAAUCUUGAACGUCAACAAAAAAGUCUAAAUUGUCUUUAAUUUCACGUUUUGACAUUUUGGGUCUAAUCCUACUUCUUAGCAUUCACUUUCCUCUUGUGUUGUUGCUUCUGUAACUUUACACUACUCUCCUUGGACAGUAAGGAUUUUAUUCACGAAAACAAGAAAUAUAAUGAUAGAUAAGUAAAAGUAAAGGUUAGAUGAUCCAUUGUGCAGCUAUAUUUUCUAUAAUCGACUUAAUUUCAGGUAUCAUUUUUCCUGUUUAUUUAACCCUCAUACGAUCUUAACAUUCUGUUUACUCGCCUUGUCCUACGGGUCAAAAAUGUCCCACCCUAACAAAAACCCCAAAAUAAAGCAGCUUACUUGAAUUUGAAAUCCAAAAUCUAUUUUGCAUGAUCAAACAAUCUGUUAUUUAUCAAUUAAACUUAAUUUAAUUCAUUUUUAUCAUGUUUUUUUUUUUUUGUUAUACAACACAAACCAACUGUCGUAAGUUUUCUUUUACACAGUAAAAGUUUAUUAUUGUAAUUAUAUAAAUGUGAAGUAAUUACUUCUGAAUUAACUAUACUAAAAGGGAAAUAAGUCAACAAUCGGUAAUUUUUUUGUCAACAGUUCAUUCUUUAUACUGUUUAGGAUGUCAAUUAUGAAAUUCUCUCAUACAACAACAUAAGAACAUCAUCAACAUAUGUUGACCAUUAGAUGUUCAAAAUGUUAUGUUUAACAUCCUGCAAAAUUAUAUAAGAUGUUUAGCAUCUUGUGUCGGACAGUAUGUGUGAACGUACAACCUAUGACCUGUUGGGCAGUGAAACAUCUGCUCACGGCUUCAGCAAGGAAUCAACUAGGGUAGUUUGAUUUAGGGCCUUUAUAUCCUCUAUACUGAAUUUGUUUUUAUUAUGCCUCAAAUUGCUUUUUGUUGUGUUUGGGAGCUUGUGUGAUGUGAGGGGUUAGCUACAGGUGCAGGUGCAGGUGAAAUACAAGUUCAAUUCCAAUCCAGUUUAUUUGAUGUGUGUGCGUGUGCAUAUGCGGGUGUGUGUGGGUGUGCGCCUGCAUGUGUGUGUGUGUGUGUGUGUGUGUGUCCUGGCUUUUUCGUCCCUAUCUGUCCACUGUUGCCUUGUUACAGCUCUCUCUGUCCAGGUCAGGCUUCUAACUGUGAAUUUUCAGCUCCUUUUCAGUUGCACAACAUUAAUAUUUGUAAAAAAAAAAAAAAAUGUAAAAGAAGAAGAAAUAUUGAUGAUAAUAAAACAUUUUUUAUGAACAUUUGUAAAACUGCUGCGAUGCUGCUUGUUAUUUAGGAUUGCAGCUUCGCUUCAACCAGUUUUAUUUUAUGCAGCUGCGUUUUAUUUUUUAAUUAAAAAUGUCCACUGUAUGUUGGGCUGUUUUUGACUGGGAAACGAUGUGUGGCAGAGUGGUGCUCAAAUGUCCUGAAGCUGCAAACGCACCAUCUGGACAGCUGCAGGUGCAGCCUGGAGUAUUCUGAUUGGCGCCACUUGUAGGAGAAAAUGGCCCGAAGAAGCUGCACAUGAAGCUUUUUAAUGAUAAAAACUCCCCCUUAAAUUUAAGGUAAAACAAUAUAAGGCCAUUUUGAGAAAUUAAGCACCUUUUUUAAUUGAAGCUGAGGUGAAAACCUGCUGAGGGGUAGAAGAGAGGUCUGCCAUGAAGAGGAAAACAUGGUGGAAAGUCAGACCAUCGGUUCAUUAUGUAUGACGGUAAAGGUGCUCGGAUCUGGAGGACCCAAACAACUCUGUAAGUUUGUUUUUUUGUUUUCACAACAUGAACUAUUAGAACCAAAACCAGAACCCGCUACGAGCUGAGUAAUAGAGCAGAAAAUGUCCAAACAGCUAGCAAAGAAACCACAGGCAUAUAAAGAAUAAACGCCUUCCCUGGCUGGGGAAGUUUGCUUCUCUGUGUAUGAUGUUUUUGAUGCCUUUCUUUAUGAACCUUCCCCGACUGGGGAAGUUCUUCGGGAGCCUUCCUCGACUGACAAGCAAGCUUCCCAGGCUGGGGAAGUUUGUAGCCUGUCCAGAUCACUGUCCGAGGGAAUGAUUGUGCCAAUCUUAUCAGUGAGAAGGAGACAGUUGGGUUCAGAAAAUCAAGUUUUACUUUGAUGAAGGCGGCUCUAGAAGUCUGGACCCAUGAAGAGAGUGCUGUCCAGACCACUGUCCGAGGGAAUGAUUUCCCCAGUCUUCUAAAAGACCAAACUUCUCCGGUUGGGGAAGUUUGCUGCAAAGAAGAUAACGUGAAGGAGACAGAAAUUUUGUGUUUUCUCAAAAAUAUAUGGGAACAACUUU